CCCCCAGUGGCCUAAUGGAUAAGGCAUUGGCCUUCUAAGCCAAGAAUUGUGGGUUCAAGUCCCAUCUGGGGUA